GGUCCAAGCCUGCAGAAACGGCUCCUAUGGUUCCAAUGAUCUGUAAGUUAAGGAAGAUUGGCCAAGCAAAACCACUCAGCUUCUUUUAGUGAAACACAGCCAGGAGUUUGUAGCCUGCAAUGUUCUCAACAGCAAUAUUGAUGAGAGUGGCUGUGAUACCGGUUAGAAGACCAACCAGGAAGGCCUGCGACCAUUUCCAUGAUAAAUACUGCAGGGCUUGGACUUCCGAUCUGCUUCUCCAUUCCUGUUUGAAAAGAUCAUUCUCGUUGAUCCUGACAUACAUUCGUGAUUAUCCUAUCGUUAUUCUUGAAAAAAUAGCAAAUACAAGAAAGUGGUAUUUCAACUUACUCAUAAUCCAAGCUUUCGAUAUGAGAAACUUUGGAUCCAAUGACGGCAUGUUGACUAGAAGGGAGGGUAUGAUUUCUCUUGAGGAGUGGCUCAUGGACAAAAUCGUUAGUUGAUUCUCUUUCAUGUUUUACUGUUUGUGCUUCCAUGUGGUUGGUGCAUAUUUCUUCUGAUACGUUUGAUUCUUCUUUCAUUUGAUCAGAUGCCGUUUGGAUCUUUGGCAGUCACUAGUCGUCCUGCACUAUAUACAGACUAACAGCGUAAUAUCUCCCCCUGCCAUUGUGUGUGUGCAGAGACAUACAUAUGUGUAUACCUAUAUAUACCGUGUUGUCCUAUUGGAAUAUACUUUUAAGUAGGUUCAUAGUUGUUUAGAUGGGAAUGGUUGGUUUGAAAAGAUGCAGUAUUCGUUAUCAAACCUUGGACAAUAGGUGAAUGGCUAGAGGCAAUAUAAAACAAACAAUUCGGGGUCCAUGUUUA